AAAACCGAUGAUGGGCUGAAGCUAAAGCACUGAGCAGAUGAUGCGGAGAAAGCACAAAAACAAGGACAAUUGGAAACUCCUGGAAAACUGCCCAGUCACCCAAAGAAAAAGUCUUGGAAAAUCCCUAUGUCACCUGACCAAUUCCUCCUGACUGUUAGCGCCCUGCAGCACGCCCGUAAUUCCGGGGAAUUUGCCUAUCCCUGUAGGCCCCAAACAGAAAUUACUGAUGUCUGGGGACCUUCAAUUUCAUACCCAAGGAAGGUCUUGAAUUUCAAAGGAAAAUCAAUCCAACGUGCAGUUGAUCGGUUGAGAUUGAGCAAUCCUCCUAU
rnacentral:lncRNA from 10 species